CUUUAAUUAUCCAAAUUGUAAGGCUACUUUAAUCAUUUUCAACAUUAUCAUCAUCAAUCUCAUCAUUUAUUAUCAUCGCUAUAAUCAACAGUUACUCAAAUGGACAGUAAACAUUAGGAAAACAAGUGUUGAAGAAGGAAACAAAGCUUUACUGUAAAGUGGAAAUCGUUCUUGAUGGUUUAGGCUUGAUUCCAAUUUUACCUUCGCUGUCGGUUGCCUCUACUAACAUCAUCACCAUCACCAUCAUCUUCAUCUUCAUCACCAUCAUCUUUUAUCAUUAUCAUUAUCAUCUUCAAGUGAGAGAGUUACUGUAGCUUGUUGUUUCUGGGUUCGCAUUUUGGUUUCUCCCUCGAAGAAGAAAGGAUUUAUCAAUGAAGAUAAUCUGAUUCUUUCUUAACUCCUGGUAGCCUCAAACUAAAACAGUUAACAUCAUCCAUCUUUCUUCUCUGUCUCUCUUUCGCCAUCUCAUCUUGUUCAUCCUCUUUUUUUACAUCUCAUACGACCUCAGCCCAGAAUAACUUCUCCUUUUUUAUUUCUUCAUUUUCGUCUUCUUCUAGUCUCUUUUCAUCACCAACAUCAUUUCAAGAAUCAUCUAAAGCAAACCGAGAAAAAAAGUCGAAAGAUGUUUUCACAAAUAAGUCAGACUUUUUACAUCAUAUUCAACUUCGGAACAGAAUUUCAUCCUUCAAGUCACACUCAAUUGUAAUAUUUGCUUUGCUUGUCAGUCUUUUAUCCUGUUAACUGUUACUUGCUCAUCGUCAAUACUUUUCACCCUUUCCAGGCUCAUCAUUCUCGCCAUUCACUCAUGAAUAUAAUACCAAAAUUCAUUCAUUAUUUUCAUUUCAUAUUUUAAUUGACAAGAAACAAUUUUUCAUUAAGUCAUUUUUUUUCUUCCCUAACUGUUAACUCUUAUAAUUGGUUGGGUAAAAUAUGGUAGCAUUUGGAUUUAAACCAAAUUUUACUCACUUAACACGAUUUGUCAAAUUCAAGUUGAUAAUUUAUUCAAUAUACUUCAACAAUCAAGAUGUAACUUUCAUCUCUACCGUUUGAUGAAUACUCAAUUGUAUCAACCUUAACCAUUGACCAAACCAAAAUGAAAACAUCUUUGAAAAUUAA